AAUAUUGCGCAAUGGGCGAGAGCCUGACGCAGCGACGCCGCGUGAGUGAUGAAGGCCUUCGGGUCGUAAAACUCUGUCCUCAGGGAAGAAAAUUUGACGGUACCUGAGGAGGAAGCCCCGGCUAACUACGUGCCAGCAGCCGCGGUAAUACAUAGGUGGCAAGCGUUAUCCGGAAUUAUUGGGCGUAAAGCGUGCGUAGGCGGUUUAUUAAGUCUGGUGUGAAAUAUUACAGCUUAACUGUAAAGGGUCAUUGGAAACUGGUAAACUUGAGUACGGUAGGGGCAAGUGGAAUUCCAAGUGGAGCGGUGGAAUGCGUAGAUAUUUGGAGGAACACCAGUAGCGAAGGCGGCUUGCUGGGCCGGAACUGACGCUGAGGCACGAAAGCGUGGGGAGCAAAC
rnacentral:rRNA from 1 species